GAUUUCAAUUGAAAAAGUCAUCAACAACAAAGUUGAAUAACUUAUCAAGAUCUAAAACUUUUAUUUUUGUUAUUUCUUCAUCUGACGAAAUGUUAGUAAUAUUAUUCAUAAAUUUUACAUAUAUGUGUUAUAGUUUAUAAAACCAGAUAAGAGAUAUGUCAAUUUUGUUAACAAUGUUACUAUCACUUUGUCGUAUGAAGAAAUGACCUAAAUAAAAGUUUUAGAUCUUGAUGAGUUAUUCAACUUUGUUGUUGAUGACUUUUUCAGUUGAUAUC
rnacentral:pre_miRNA from 1 species